AGUCAACCUAACCUAUGGACGGGGAUAACCUCGGGAAACUGAGAAUAAUACCCGAUAGAUCAUAAUGCCUGGAAGGGUUUAUGAUCCAAAUGAUUUAUCGCCAUAGGAUGGGACUGCGGUCUAUCAGCUUGUUGGUGAGGUAAUGGCCCACCAAGGCUAUAACAGAUACGGGCUCUGAGAGGAGGGGCCCGGAGAUGGGUACUGAGACACGGACCCAGGUCCUAUGGGGCGCAGCAGGCGAGAAACCUUUGCAAUAGGCGAAAGCCUGACGAGGUUAAUCCGAGUGUUUUCUGCUAAAGGAACCUUUUGUCAGCUCUAAAUAGGCUGAUGAAUAAGUGGUGGGUAAGACUGGUGCCAGCCGCCGCAGUAACACCUGCGCCACAAGUGGCAAUCACAAUUAUUGGGUCUAAAGCGUUCGUAGCCGGUUUGAUAACUCUUUUGUGAAAUUGUUGGGCUCAACCUAACAACGUGCAAGAGAAACUAUUGAACUUGGGACCGGGAGGAGUUAGAAGUAUUCUAGGGGGAGCGGUAAAAUGUUAUAAUCCCUGGAGGACUACCAGUGGCGAAGGCGUCUAACUAGAACGGGUCUGACGGUGAGGAACUAAGGCCAGGGGAGCAAAACGGAUUAGAUACCCGAGUAGUCCUGGCAGUAAACGCUGUGAGCUAUGUGUUGCAUGAUCUUUGUGGUUGUGCAGUGCCUAAGCGAAGGUGUUAAGCUCACCACCUGGGAAGUACAGUCGCAAGACCGAAACUUAAAGGAAUUGGCGGGAGCUCACUACAAGGGGUGAAGCCUGCGGUUC
rnacentral:rRNA from 1 species